GACGAACGCUGGCGGCGUGCCUAAUACAUGCAAGUCGAGCGGGGCUGAAUUCAAAGAUUCCUUCGGGAUGAUUUGUUGGACGCUAGCGGCGGAUGGGUGAGUAACACGUGGGCAAUCUGCCCUAAAGACUGGGAUACCACUUGGAAACAGGUGCUAAUACCGGAUAACAACAUGAAUCGCAUGAUUUCAAGUUUGAAAGGCGGCGUAAGCUGUCGCUUUAGGAUGAGCCCGCGGCGCAUUAGCUAGUGGUGGGUAAGGCCUACAAGGCAAUGAUGCGUAGCCGAGUUGAGAGACUGAUCGGGCCACAUUGGGACUGAGACACGGCCCAAACUCCUACGGGAGGCAGCAGUAGGGAAUCUUCCACAAUGGGACGCAAGUCUGAUGGAGCAACGCCGCGUGAGUGAAGAAGGGUUUUCGGGAUCGUAAAGCUCUGUUGUUGGUGAAGAAGGAUAGGGAGC
rnacentral:rRNA from 1 species